CAACAGGGAAGCUGCAGGAAGGUUGAAAAAAGCACAGCAAAGCAGGGAGAGCCUCCUCGGUGGAGAGCAACGCCCAGGUCAUGUGGAGUGGGCCAGCUUUAAUGAACCUGUCUAAAAGGAAGGAAGAGAAAGAGCUCGGCUCAUUAGGGGAACAAGGAGGACCUUGGCGGCGGUCUCACUCCUCGCCAGCUCUUCACCUCAGAUCUUGUCCUGACUUCCUGGUCCACUAACAGCCUCCUGGAUAGAAGAGUCAGUUCACCAGCCCAGAAGACGUUCUGAAAAUUGACAGUGAUCAUGAUAUAGCCUGGGUCCAGAAUACUUCUCUGUACGAUGG